AGUGAACGCUGGCGGUAGGCCUAACACAUGCAAGUCGAACGGCAGCACAGUAAGAGCUUGCUCUUACGGGUGGCGAGUGGCGGACGGGUGGGGAAUACAUCGGAAUCUACUUUUUCGUGGGGGAUAACGUAGGGAAACUUACGCUAAUACCGCAUACGACCUACGGGUGAAAGCAGGGGAUCUUCGGACCUUGCGCGAUUGAAUGAGCCGAUGUCGGAUUAGCUAGUUGGCGGGGUAAAGGCCCACCAAGGCGACGAUCCGUAGCUGGUCUGAGAGGAUGAUCAGCCACACUGGAACUGAGACACGGUCCAGACUCCUACGGGAGGCAGCAGUGGGGAAUAUUGGACAAUGGGCGCAAGCCCGAUCCAGCCAUACCGCGUGGGUGAAGAAGGCCUUCGGGUUGUAAAGCCCUUUUGUUGGGAAAGAAAAGCAGCAGGUUAAUACCCCGCUGUUCUGACGGUACCCAAAGAAUAAGCACCGGCUAACUUCGUG
rnacentral:rRNA from 1 species